CCCAGGCUCUUACUUGCUGCACAGUGGAGGUGAGGACCUUAGAUGACCGUCUGCUCAACAUCCCCAUCAAUGACAUCGUCCACCCUAAGUACUACAAGAUGGUGCCAGGUGAGGGGAUGCCACUGCCUGAGGACCCUACCAAGAAGGGGGACCUCUUCAUUUUCUUUGACAUCCAAUUCCCCACCCGCCUCACACCCCAGAAGAAGCAGUUGCUGCGCCAGGCAUUGCUGACCUAAUUCUGGGACACCUGGGCGGGAGCAGGGAUGGAGAGGGCUAGCUGGGCCUCAGCCACUCUUACCCACUCCACCCCCAUAGCCUAUGAAGAUAGCAUGAGAACUUAGGCUGAUAUAAUAAAGAUUCCUUUCCUGUCCUCUA